UACGUAGGGGGCAAGCGUUGGUCCGGAAUCAUUGGGCGUAAAGAGCGUGUAGGCGGCUCGAUAAGUCUGCUGUGAAAGUCCAGGCUCAACCCUGGAAGGCCGGUGGAAACUGUCGGGCUAGAAUCCGGAAGAGGCGAGUGGAAUUCCCGGUGUAGCGGUGAAAUGCGCAGAUAUCGGGAGGAACACCAAUGGCGAAGGCAGCUCGCUGGGACGGUAUUGACGCUGAGACGCGAAAGCGGUGGGGAGCAAACAGGG
rnacentral:rRNA from 1 species